GGUCGGGUGGCCUAAUGGUAAGGCGUGUCUCUCCUAUAGUUGAGUGUCAACAAGACAAGAUUGUGGGUUCGAGUCCCAUCUCGAUCG